CCCUUAGAUGUCCUGGGCUGCACGCGCGCUACACUGGAAGUUACGGAUUGAGAUACUACCUUGUCCGAAAUGGUCCGUGUAAUCACCUAAAAGCUUGUCAUAAUUGGAAUGGAUUAUUGUAACUAGUAAUCCUGAACGAGGAAUUCCUAGUAAGUCCCAGUCAACAGCUGGUACUGAUUACGUCCCUGCCCUUUGUACACACCGCCCGUCGCUACUACUGAUUGGACGUUUAAGCAAGAUUUUUAAACACUGACAGUGUGUAGUUCACGCUAUACUACAGUGAGAAGAAGAAGAUCGAGCUUACUUGUCUAGAGGAAGUAAAAGUCGUAACA
rnacentral:rRNA from 1 species